GACUUCUGGUUUAAUGCACCUGGCCCGCGGCCCACAAGGCCUGUGAGUGCCGGCGCGCGUUUACCAUCCUUCCAGCAACGGCUACCCUUAACUGGGCGGCUGGAAGUGUUUAAAGCAGGCGUUUGCUCUGAAUACAUUAGCAUGGAAUAAUAAUCUAGGACUUCGGUUCUAUUUUGUUGGUUUCUAUAACUGAAGUAAUGAUUGAUAGGGAUAGUUGGGGGUGCUAGUAUUGGCCGGUCAGAGGUGAAAUUCUUGGAUUCGGUCAAGACUAACUUAUGCGAAAGCAUU
rnacentral:rRNA from 1 species